rnacentral:rRNA from 1 species
GCAAGGAGCUAUAGCACGUUGAAUACACCAGGCCCCAAUGGAUCACUGAAGUUAAGCGUGGGGGGGCGUGGUUAGUAUCCGAAUGGGUGACAGUCUGGACAAACACGUGCUGCUGGUU